GGGCAUGUAGUGUAGUUGGCUAUCGCGUCUCCUUCGCAAGGGGAAGGUCUCCGGUUCGAUUCCGGGCUUGUCCA
rfam:Nadsonia fulvescens var. elongata DSM 6958 unplaced genomic scaffold NADFTscaffold_2, whole genome shotgun sequence.